rnacentral:rRNA from 1 species
CUUGCUACCUGACCUAGCGGCGGACGGGUGAGUAAUGCUUAGGAAUCUGCCUAUUAGUGGGGGACAACAUUCCGAAAGGAAUGCUAAUACCGCAUACGCCCUACGGGGGAAAGCAGGGGAUCUUCGGACCUUGCGCUAAUAGAUGAGCCUAAGUCAGAUUAGCUAGUUGGUGGGGUAAAGGCCUACCAAGGCGACGAUCUGUAGCGGGUCUGAGAGGAUGAUCCGCCACACUGGGACUGAGACACGGCCCAGACUCCUACGGGAGGCAGCAGUGGGGAAUAUUGGACAAUGGGCGAAAGCCUGAUCCAGCCAUGCCGCGUGUGUGAAGAAGGCCUUUUGGUUGUAAAGCACUUUAAGCGAGGAGGAGGCUACCGAGAUUAAUACUCUUGGAUAGUGGACGUUACUCGCAGAAUAAGCACCGGCUAACUCUGUGCCAGCAGCCGCGGUAAUACAGAGGGUGCGAGCGUUAAUCGGAUUUACUGGGCGUAAAGCGUGCGUAGGCGGCUUUUUAAGUCGGAUGUGAAAUC